CUGUGCCACUUCAUUUCUCAGCAGGGUGACUUCAUUCUAAAGGAGAAGAAAGUUAUGUACUUUACCAGGCUCAAACUACACACGUUUUAAAGUUUGCAGAUGCAGAGUCUACAUAUAGUCUCAUUCACAUGAUCCAGCUACUGUGAGACUCUUCUGGAAGGUUUUGUGAUGAAUUCUAAUCAGAGUAAACCUACAUUUAGCUAUACACAUUUUAACAGAUGUCACAGCCAACAUUAGAAAAGGGAAAACACAAAAGAAAAUCCAAAAAGCCAAUGCAGAAUAAUUUUUCAGUGACUAUUUAUACUUGGACUUCAAAAAAGAAAAUCUCAUGUACUGGAAAACAAUUUAGCAAAUAUUGGUUGAUUUCCAGACUGAUUUUUAUUUUGGCAGCCAUACAUAAACAUGUUCUAUGAAGGAAUCAUUGAUAAUAAUGACAAAAUCCGGAGAUGUCAGCUUGUGUCACUAAAGCAGAGUGCAAUCUAAGAGACAGCAUCUGCACAAUCCAGCGACUGGGUUCAUUUCCAGACUGUGCCUUUCCACUAUUGGGUGACCUUGAACAAGGUCAUUUUACUGCUUUGUGCUUCACCUUCUCCAUUUGUAAACUGGAGGACAGCAAUACUUACCUCCCCGGGAAAGCAGUUUGGUGUCUAUAGACGAGAAGUGCUACGUAACCGCGUUACACGGGAUAAUCCAAAUUAAGAAUGGCAUGGCACUUUGAUAGACCCACUUUUACUUUAUAGAGUGGAAUAAUAUUUAUUAAUCAAAUGAUCUGCAAUGCUUUGUGAUCCCUAUAUCUGGACACAAUAUGUGUUUUUCAUGGGUUAUUUUAUUUUGAAUAUAAAUCUUUCCUAUUAAUACCUGAAGUUACUUCAAGUGUAAGAACCUUUGCAUAUUUGUGUAAUAUACCACACGUGUGACAUAAUUAUUUAGUAAAUGCUUAUGUUCAUACAUUUAGGAGCAAGUUAAAGAAGAAAACCAACAGAAGAAAAUUGGAUUGCAUUUGAAAUUAUCUGAAAAAAUAAACUACAAGAAAGUCAACCUAUUUACUUGCAAGCAAGAAAUAAAGCAAUGCUGCCAGAGAUGAGAUGAAUUACAAGUUAAAGGAUUCCAAAAGACAACAAUUCUUUCAAAACAGAACUUAUUAUGUUUAAUUACACAAAGUAACUAAAAUAUCAGACUGUUCAAAGAAAAGCUCCUCUUCUGUGUUCUCUCUCUCCAUUUAGAAGACAACCAAUUUCAAGCCUUUAUACAAGCAAAAUCCUCUUAAGGUCUCCUUUUCUAUUCAGUCCUUUUAUUGUGUAAAAUACCCUUUAGAAACUUUUUAUUAAAACCAAAGGCUGGAAGAUGCCAAAAAUCUGACUUCACAGACAUUUAUAAUGGAAGAAAAACGUGAUCGCAAACAAAAAGGUUUGUAACAAAAGAAACCCAACCAAAAGCCCCACAAAUUCUCUACCAGGUGGCAUUACAUGUCCUGAAACCUUAGGCUGUUAAGAAAGCACGGGACUACUGCCUCCAGCUCUGUCUGCCCUUAGCUCACCAUGUUAUUUACUGAGGAGCCACAAAUCUUGAUGCCAAGCAGGCAGCUGCACAGCAUUGACAAAGUUUGGGUAGAAAAAACCACACUGAUGUAGUUUUGAGACACUUGAUAAUCUACAGAAGCAACAAUGUAAUGAAAUAUGAAAUAUAGUUCUGUUAGUUCAAAGGAACUCCGGCAAUCAGGAAAAGGUUUGCAGAAAUUUUCUACCUUGUCUCCCACAUUUUAAGGAAGAGUUUUAUACACAAACAGCACAUGUAAGUAUGAAGUUGCUGUUCAUCUGUGGAAGUAAAAUUAUAUGUUUCUGAAGAACUUUUAUAACACAGUUUAUAGAUCAGUGUCAGCUGUAUUAAAAAUAUUAAGACUGCUGCUAGCAUAAAUACAAAAAGGAAAUACAUUAUCCUAAAUAGAAGCAAACUUGGAAAACAUGGAUCAGCAUUCCUAUAAAAAGAGGUUGAGGUAAUCUCUAGAACAAUGCUAGCUGUAUAUUCCAUAACAGGAACACUUGUGCCAACAGUACUAUAUGCAAUGCACACAUCACUCGUGACACUAGAACAGAGUUCUGUUUGCUAGACACAUGCGUGGGGAAUGCCACAGAACGACAACCUAUGGUUGCCAGUUACAUAUUACCAGUAAGAACCACUUCUGACUGGUAAAGGGGACUGCUAGAACCAAUUCUUACACAUACUGCAGUUAAUUAUCUUGUAUGUGACAACAGCAAGUCUUUCCAUCUCAUUCAAAACAUGUGAAUGUGUGGUGGUCAUUGAAUAUGUGGUUAACAUGGUGAAAACAUGGCUACCAAGAAAUACAUGACACCAACACUUUUAACAGCUGGCAUGAAGAAAGAUUAUUUCAAGUUUUCACACUGGAAAGGUUCUCCUCAUUAGUGAGAUAGAGGCAAGCGCAGGUAUCAACAUUUCUUCAAAGCAGCAUGUAACAUAACUCAUAUGCUGUGGAGAAGAAUUUGUAUGUUCCCACAUUUUGAAAUGUGCUAGCAUUAGCAAGCAGGUUUCUGGAGAAAAGCAUAUUGACUUGUACCUGCGCUCCAUCUUCCAAAAGAUGCUUUCCUUUCUGUAUUCUUAUGCAGGGAGGACACGGUAUAUGACACAUUCUUCUGUAUCUGCCUAUUUCUCCCUGCACCCAAAAUGCAGAUGUAACAGUGGGACCAUGGGACCACAUUAGCCCUUACUCAGCAUGGUGUGGGACAACACUUGUGAUACAUUUACUAGAAGUAUCAUCAGAGGCAGAUAAAUGUGACUUCUGGGGAUAGGGUAUUGUCUGUGGCUGAGUUAAACAGCAUUUUUCCCGUUUCUUUUUGGACAACUUCCUUUAUGGGAAAGGAUCUUUACUUAUGGGCAUACUUUCAUAAUUUAGCCUUCCUAAACAGUUCUGCAGCAUCAGUACGAACUAUCACUUGAUUGCUGCUCACUGAAAACCCACUGUGACCUCACAAGGAAGACAGGCCAUUCUUCUAAAGCUUCGCCCUCUAAGAUUAAUAAAGCAACAGGGACCAAAUACAGAAUCUAUAAUGCACUUUGGCAUCUGAUCCUGCAACGUGGCUCGGUGGCCACUACAGACAUUGUCAAUACCUUCUUAAUACAUUAUACAGCACCCCAUACCCUGCAGGAUUGUGCAAGGCACAGAGGCCACACAAGGUGGUGAAUAAAAUUUAAGAUCAAUAAACAGGUCAACACAUUAAUAGAAAACACAGUCCACAAGAAUCGAAACAGUAAAUAAACUUCAAAAUGUUGGAAGCAUGAAAACAACGUACACAGCAGAGCCUAUAAAAGACAGCCUACCUAACCUACCUAACCUGUUACUAGUGAUGUAAUAGACGGAAAUUUUCCCUUACGCAAAUAUUUGAAAAAUACUGCUUAAAAAUGAAGUUGCUUUCAAACAUUUAAAAGAAGAACUGGAUAGGAGUUAACGUACAGAACAAUAUAUAUACAUCAACCAAGCCUUUUCAAAAUCCAUACAUAGUGUUAGUGAGCUUCCAGUCUUAAAAACUGACAUCAGAAUCUCUGACACAGACAUUACGAGAAAGCCAGUAACAAAGUGUUGAAAGGAGUCAGAAUUGUUACAUGAAGCAAUGCAAUGCAGUUGUUUUGGUAUGAACAAGCUUUUGGAAAUGUGACAUCUUGGUAAAUUCAGCUGAGCAGGCCUCUUAGAUAUGAAAUAAAAUAUGAACUACUAACCCAAACAGUCUAUAAAACUGCACUACGGCAAAACUCCAAACUUAUUCAGUUUUCUAUUAAAUACAAAGUCAGUAAUCACGGGUCAUUACUGCCCACUCCGCUGAUCAGCUGUGUUAGCCUGUCAAGCUGUUAUUACGGAAAUAUAGGAUUGAUUAAUGUUUUCACAUAAAGUACAGUUUAAUUAUUUCUCUGACAUCCAAUUUCCUUUAAAAUUAUUCUGUUCUUUACAGUUAACAGUUUUAUUUUUGGUAUACUGUAAGAAAAUCUUUCUUAAAUUCACUAUUACUGAAUUAACUCUUAGAAACCUUUUGGUUAUGGUAUUUAUGUGAUUUUUUUAAUUAUAAAACUUGUUAUAUAUGUGUGAAAGGCAGUUCACAUGAUACCAAACACUACUUUCACAAAAAACCUGAAUUAUGGCCGAUUUUUUUCAUUCUCCUUCACUCCUUUCUUUGAUUAUUUAAGCUACAGUGCUACAUAUAAUUAUGUAAUUAAUGGACUUAAUUGAGGACUAUGCAUUAAAGGAAUAUGUCUAAAGACUGUGAACAGGUAUGAGAAGAAUACAUAUUUCCAAGAAAUUUAACUAAUGCUGGUGCACAGUGUCAUGAUUCUUGCAACACAGGAAACCAUUUCAAGUUGUGUGCUUAGGUAGGAAUUUUUUUACAUUUCAGGGUCUGGGAUGCUGAGUGUUUUUAAAGACAUGAACAUGAAGACAACUGAUACACAGUAAUUUUGAUUAUAUGAUGAAACAUAACCUCAACAUGCCCUACUUUCCUGUUGGUCAAACUGUGAUGUUUUCUAUACCAAACAGCACGAGAGGCUUUCAGCAGUGACCUAGGCAUAUACCUACAAAUAGGUGCUAAGUUUCUGCAAACAUGACAAUAGCAACGAGGCUUACAUAAGAUCCCAGAAAGGGAAGGAAGGCAAACUGAAUGGAGACAUAAACAGAAAGCCUCACCUGUGGUGAACUGUGCCCACAAACAGGCUUUCCUGGAUCCUAUGCUACAAUUAAAACAACAGAUUGCAGAUUACCUCUGUCAGAACUGCCAAAAAUCUUCAGGUCUGAAAUAUGGCAACUUAAGUCAACUACAUGGACUUCAUAGCACGUAACCACCACCAGAAGGUAUCCUAACUGAGGACUACAAAGACAACCAAGAAACUCCAACAUUCCUCUACUGGCUCGCUAUUAAGGAAUCUUUAGCCAGUGACUUCUGUAGAAAGUCUGUUCUGUAGUGAUUGCUCUGGAUUGAAUUAACAGCACAUUACACCAGAUAGGAACCAUGCAAGUGCACACGAAAACUGGGAGCUAAUCAAGUCCUGUUCCUCACCUCAUUUAUUGUACCAACUUCAUAAGUUUCCCAGAAUGAAGGAGACACUUCAGAAAAGUACACAAAUCAAAUUUACUGAUCUGUUUCCCCAGUGCUCAACUUUAACAAUAAAAAUUUAGGAUAGCUGCAAUCAUUUGGGCAGGAUGACAAAAAUUGCCAAGAUAUGUCCAUAAUUUUUAGUAUAUGUACAGCACUCUGGAAGUUCUUAGGUAGUUAACACUUUAAUUAAACUCAAGAAUUGACUUGUACCUUCCUAAUCCUCCUUGCAGGAACAAGCUAACAAAAAAAAUUUCAGUCCCUGUCUCCAGCAGGCUUAAGUGUUCUCUAACUGUCUAAUUACAAUUACUAAAACCAAACUCUAUGAUCUACCUGCCAACAACUGCAAAGUUCAUGAUUGCUCUCUCUCUUCAACUAAUCCUGUCUCUAAAUUGUAAAACUUUCUACACAGCCACCAGGACUACCAGGGAAACACAUCACCUCCAAGUCAGUUUUAAAGAAGUAUUCUGUAAAGAAAGUAGCAAGUAUUUAACACCAGUAUGACAAUAUCCUUUCCAUAUGUUAUUAACAUAAGAUUUUUCACUAUUUAUUUUCAUUUAUGACUUGAAUUACUAUACAAGUAUUUCUUUUAUCAUAACUUGCUGUUAGGCAGGAUGUGACAAAUUUUCAUCAGUGCUAAUCAAGAGAGUAGUGACAGCACAAAUCAGUUAAAGGAUACGCUCUCUUUUAUUUCAAGUUGUCAUACUAUGAGAGUUUUAAAAGUUACCAUCUAAAAAUUAUGUCUAUUGGGUUUGCAUGGCAAGGUUUUGCACAGGGGUGGGGUGGCAGGGGUGGCUCCUGCGAGCAGCUGCCAGAAGCUCUCUCCUUGUCUGACAGAGCCAAUGGCAGCUGGCUCUAGGACAGACCUCCAAAGAGAGUUUGAGGGAGCUGGGUCUGUUCAGCCUUGAGAAGAGAUGACUGAGACGGGACGUCAGCAGUGUCUAGGAGUAUCUGAAGGUGGUAUUUGAAGUUAAGACACUGGAGCCAGGCUCUGCUCAGUGGCACCAAGCAAUAGGACAAGAGGCAAUGGGCAGAAACUGAUGCAUAGGAAGUUCCACCUGAACAUGAGGGAGAAAUGUCUUUACUGUGCAGUGACCAAGCACUGGAACAGAUUGCCCAAGGGAGGGAGUCAGGCUUCCCUCUCUGGAGAUAGGCGAGAACUCUCUGGAUGCAAUCCUAUGUCAUGUGCUCCAGGAUGGACCUGCUGGAACAGGGGGGUUGGACCAGAUAACCACUGUGGUCCUUUCCAACUUGACCCAUUCUGUAACUGUGAAGAGUGAGAGGAGUCCUCCCCAGCAGAGCAAGGAGUGGCAGAGAUGUCUGAGGAACUGACCACAGCCACCAUUCCCCCUCCUCCUGUGCUGCUGAGAGGCAGGAGACAGAGAAGAGUUAAGCCCAGGAAGGAAGUGGGGAAAGGUGUUUUUAAGUUUUGGGUGUAUUAUCCCACUCAGAUGUGAUUGGUAAUAAAAGAAACUGAUUUCCCCAAGACAAGUCUGUUUUGCCCAUGAUGGUAAUUGAUGAGUUUGCACUGGGACGUGCAAACAAAGUUGGACUUAACUCUACUUACUGUAAUGCUAACAUUUAAACAUUAUAUCCUGUAAAUUCAUAAGUAA